UGGGGAAUUUUCCGCAAUGGGCGCAAGCCUGACGGAGCAAUACCGCGUGAGGGAGGAAGGCUUUUGGGUUGUAAACCUCUUUUCUCAGGGAAGAAGCUCUGACGGUACCUGAGGAAUCAGCAUCGGCUAACUCCGUGCCAGCAGCCGCGGUAAGACGGAGGGUGCUAGCGUUGUUCGGAUUUACUGGGCGUAAAGGGCGCGUAGGCGGCUAAUCAAGUUGGGUGUGAAAGCCCGGGGCUCAACCUCGGAACGGCACUCAAAACUGGUUGGCUUGAGACCGAGAGAGGAGAGUGGAAUACCCAGUGUAGAGGUGAAAUUCGUAGAUAUUGGGUGGAACACCGGUGGCGAAAGCGGCUCUCUGGCUCGGAUCUGACGCUGAGGCGCGAAAGCGUGGGGAGCAAACAGGAUUAGAUACCCGUGUAGUCC
rnacentral:rRNA from 1 species